rnacentral:rRNA from 1 species
UACGGAGGGUGCAAGCAUUAAUCGGAUUUAUUGGGCGUAAAGGGCGCGUAGGCGGCCAUAUAAGUCAGAUGUGAAAUCCCGGGGCUCAACCCCGGAACAGCAUUUGAUACUGUAUGACUAGAGGGUAGGCGGAGAAAACGGAACUCCACAUGUAGCGGUGAAAUGCGUAGAUAUGUGGAAGAACACCGGUGGCGAAGGCGGUUUUCUAGCUUAUUCCUGACGCUGAGGCGCGAAAGCAAGGGGAUCAAAACAGGGA